rnacentral:rRNA from 1 species
CAGCCGCCGCGGGAAUACGAAGGGGGCUAGCGUUGUUCGGAUUUACUGGGCGUAAAGCGCACGUAGGCGGACUUUUAAGUCAGGGGUGGAAUCCCUGGGGCUCAACCCCGGAACUGCCUUUGAUACUGGGAGUCUUGAGUUCGAGAGAGGUGAGUGGAAUUGCGAGUGUAGAGGUGAAAUUCGUAGAUAUUCGCAGGAACACCAGUGGCGAAGGCGGCUCACUGGCUCGAUACUGACGCUGAGGUGCGAAAGCGUGGGGAGCAAACAGGAUUAGAUACCCGUGUAGUCCCUGUCUCUUAUU